CAUCCUGCAGGAAAAUGGUGCUCCCUGAAAUAUAAAUGAAAAAUAGUUGUUUGAUCUCUUCAAGAAAUAUUUUUUGAACCCCUCUUAAUGGCAGAUGCUACAUGGCUGGCCUUCAUUGAAGUAAUAAAAUGAUGGAGCUCUUCCCCAUGUAGAUUAUUGAUUAAGGGUGGGUGUCAUUGGCGUCCAGUAUGAACAAUCUAUGUAUUAUGAUUCAACUGCAUAAUUCAAAUGUGAAGAAAAUGUCCAUUGUGUUUUUCUUGAAUUGCAACAUUUCAAAUCAUAGAAUGCACAAAGUUUUGGUGGACUUUUAGAUGGUUUAUUAUCAUACUGUACAUGCAGAUUGCUUUACAAAUAUCUCAGUAGCAAGGUAUAGGCUUCUUUUGGCAUACUGCAACAGUCUGAGUGAAGUCACUCACUAUGGUAAAUUUCUACAAUUAGUCUACCAAUGUCCGUUUUGGCUCAUAUCACAAAAUCUUACUUUAAAUUCCCAGAAAGCAUCCUUUCCCUCCAAAUGAACACAUUUAAUCACUGAAUUAGAUUGUCCAACAUAAAUCCAAGGAGAAGCAACAGUGAGUUCCUAUAUCAUCGGCCCAGCUUUGGGUAACUGGGAGAGCCAGUGGCUGCCUCAUCUCCUCUGUAGAAAGUGAGAACUCUCUGGUCAGGCACCACAGUUACCAGAAGAAUAUGGCAGCUCAAAAAGCAAAUGGGCAUGAUUUUGAUGAAGUCUCUACAAAUGUUUUCUAUAUUUACAUUUAUGGCCAGGCUAGACAAUAUACUUACCUAAAAUAUUGUAAUAUAUCUUUGUAUUAAGGAGUCAAUAGCACCAUUUUGACGAGUUUUAAAAAUGAAACGUUCACAAAUUCUUUUCCAGUGCUUUUAAAUUAGAAGUUGGGAAGGUAACUUACAAUCUUUCUGUAAAUUUGUAUAUUAUACUUUGUCCUCUAAAUCCUGCAGCCUCUUGAUUUUGUUUAAUGGUGUGUAGUCUAAUUACUGGAGAUGUAAGUUCCCUGUAUGUGAUGGUAUUCCAUUAAUUUAAUCCCACAGGCUGCUACUGAGGUCCUUAUGACCCUUUAGUCAAGAAAGCUCUUGGCAACCCAGGUAUACCAAUUUUACAUCUAGGAAAAAAUAGAAAAGACAUACAAAAUAAUGUCACACGAGCCCCAAAACUCCUUUUUUGAAGUUUACCUUUCUCUGCACUUGCUAACCUAUGUUUUUUAUACCCUAACAGUAUCUCUACUUUUUAGCUUCUCUUCCAUCACUGAGAGGAUAGUCAAUUUUUGUCCCCAUCUGUCUUUAUUUCAGUUGUCCUGUGGAAUGAUGCAGCCAUUCAUUAAUCACAGAUAUCAGAAAGAAGCAAAGUUGCAAGACAACUAUAAGUAUUCAAACUGCAAUCUGAUCCUAGUUGGUAAUUUUUUUAAAGUUCUUUGCAGAUGGGGGUGAAAAUAUUGCCUGCAAUGACUGAUAUAAAAGAGCAUGUAAAUUGAAUAAAAGAAGGAUGAAGAAACAACUUCAUAGAAUAAGACUGAUAUUUGGGGACAAAGCAGUUCAGAUCAUUCAAAUUUUGUUGUUUGAGACAUUGCUUCCUGUAAAUUGUUAUUUGAUGUCAACUUUCAGGGAGAUUUCUAUUUCAGGUCCUGUGGGAAUUGCCUUUUCAGGUCAAAUAAUUUAAAAGAUUUGAAAUAAAGCCAACAGUAACCUUGACUUGCGCCUCCACUAGCAAAGCUUUAGCAAGUAGGUGAUUUUCUGGGUGGAGAAAGAGAAUUUUUAGAAACUGGUAGUUUGAAAAACUUACACAGAUAAUCACUUCCAUAGUUUACCUUAUUUUGUCAAUGAAUACCCAGCCAGUGGAGUUUUUAUUUUCAGUGCUGGGCUUUAGUGAUUUGCAAAAAUCGCCUUUGAUGUGUUUGGUGAUUUUUAUUGUACCUAGAGGCUUCCCAGAUUACCCCAGUAUGGAGGGCUAGAUGCUCUGAGGAAAGGCUGUGCCUUUGUCUACCCAGAACAAUAAUGGAGCAAGGAAUCUAAUUCAUUUUGCACAAGAUUUGAGACUGAUGCAGACUUGGCGACACUUCUCUGUGGAUUUCAGCCUUUCAUACCAUAGCUGUUCUUCUACUACUUUGCCCUACAUUUCUUCAUGAAGCCUUCCACAACUCCGUCUGUGCUCAGGCCAGUCCUUCCCCGACAUGGCUCUUUUCUCCUUAUCUACAAUGAUUCUCCCCACCUUCAACUCAAUCUGACUUUCUAUGAAGCUUUCCUCAAUCAUUCCUGGCAGAAAGGAGGAUUUCCUUCUUUCCAUCCCUGGAGGGCUUACCCUUACCUAGAAUUAGCAUAGGCAUAUGUGUACCUGUCUUUUCCUUCUAACUAAAAAGACCACUCUUGGAGGCUAGCACUGUUCAGCUCUGACUCCUCCAUUACAUGUAAAAGUUUUUCUGGAAACUUUACCAGGAAAAUGAGUUCCUAAAAUGGGCUCUUUUUGAGGAGCUUCAAAACUGGCGUACCAUUUCCAUAAAAUGUGUUUUUGGUGGAGGCUCAAUAUCCCCUAAAGUAUGCUGUUUAAUUUUGGGGAAGAAAACUACUUAUUAACUUUGGUCUACUCAUUUCUAAGAUAUUUAAGUACAUCAGUGACAGCUUUCAGACUCUGAGCAACCCAGAUGAGUAGGUGAGGAUGUAGACUUCUAAUCUAUAUUUUCAUCUUUCCCUCUCUGAUUCUACUAUAAGAUAGGUAGGUAAUUAGCAGAUGAUAGUUUUCAAUUUAUGGUCACACUUAAUUGCAUCCUUUACAAAACAGAUUAAAUAUUAUCCAUGUCUCUCAUAUCAAUGUAUCAACCAUGAUGAACUGGUCAGUGAGUUCUGAGUUCUAUAAUAUAUCCUAAUGGCUAGAUGAUAUUAUCAAUUGCUGAAAUAUUUUAAAGAAUAUUUUACUUAGAGUCAUCCUACAGUUUUACUUAUUCCUAAUAAAAUGUUGAUAUUUGGUUUUCUAGUCAAUACUUCAUUUGCCAGUUUUUGGUUACAUACGUUGAAAGUCAAACUGAAAGACAAGAGUCAUGAAUGCCAAACUUUCAGUAUCCAGGUCACCUGCUUCCCCGAAGGCAGAUAUUUUGGAAUGAGUAAUUUCUCUAUGACAGAAAUAAACUAAGAAAAGGUCCUUCUUGGAUUUCUAAAUAUGUAAGAAAAGUAGAUGAAAGCAUUUACUCUUUUCAGCAAGAAUGCCCUUUCUUUUCAAAGAAAUGAAAUAUAGAACACCCAGAAAAGCGUGGGCAUUGGGAAGUAUCUUUCUUAUAUAGAAGAACUGGCUGUUUCCCUAUUCCUGAAUUACUGAUGAGCAAGUCAUUGUCUCAUAGAAUACCAUAUAAUAAUGAAAAUCUGAUUAAUAUAAAUUACUUCAGAAUAUUUUGAGAGAUACAUAACCAAAGGACUGUCAUUUCUUAGCUUACUAAGCAACAGCUUCAGAUUGAGUUAAAUGCAGGCAAAUACUAGUGUAUUGUGUCAUUUAUAUGAUUUUAAAAUAUAAAGAUCAAAUUUCUAAAACCCAUUCAAAAUACUAGAAAGCUUAAUUUUCCACUCUCAACCAACUCAAUUUGUACUCUAAAUUUCUUUUUUCAGGAAUGACACAAUUUUGAAUUUUUAGUUUUGCAGGGAAAUUUCGCUCUUGUAUCUUUAUCACAAUUUUGUUUUGAGAUCUCUGCAACAUAAGAGAAAAGUCACCUAACUUUCUCAGAAACAAUGGAAAAAAGGACCUUAAACAAAGGGAAAAACAAAGCCCCUGUACUGUGGAAAUAUGUAUUCCUAGAAGUUAUCAAAAAACAUGAAGUUCCAUAAAAAACUGGGAUCCUUUUUUUUUUGCUGUGAAGGGCUAGGUAAACAUUUUAGGUGUGGCUUGCUAUAGCUGCCACUGAAAGUUACUCAACUUUCCCCUGGCAACCUGAACACAAACAAUACAUAAAUUAGUUUGGCAGUGGGUGUUCCAAUAAAAAGGGGCCACUGGCAAUUUGCUCUGUGAACUAUUAUUUGGCUGACUCCUAAAACCUGUCCUUUGGAGAUUUAAAUUUCAUUCCAUGGUAAAUUAUGUGAGAAUUACUUUUUUUAAGAAAAUCCACAUUUGUUUCCUAUGUAUAUCUCAAAAAAACAAUUAGGCAAGCAUGAUUGAUAUUCAAGCAAAAAUAAAUGUUAACAUUAGCCCCUCUUAUUAAUGAUCCUUUUUGUCUGUAUCCUAAGGUAAUUGGGCAUAAAGAAUUACUUAAACCACUAAAUCAACUGUUCUCACUCACUGAUUCCCACUCACUGAACUUAUAGAACAUUUUAAAAUCUUGAAGAACAAACCAACAUUUAUCAGAUAUGGAAUAAAACACUAUUAUGAUGCCAUUUUGACCUAAUUGCAUAAUAAAUGGACAUGUUAGAACACUCUUUUGAUUUACAGAUGACCAUGAAAACAUUACUGAGAUGAAGGGUGCUAUGAAUAGAAAAAAUUAAUAAAUCAUGAAUGUACUGUUUGUGAUCUAUGCUACUAUAGCUAUAUUGCAGGCAUAUAAAAUAGGUCAGGUUAAAGGGGGGCAAUUAUGAGAUGAUAGUUUUCAAUUUAUGUUCAUACUUAAUUGUAUGCUUUGUAAAACAGAUUAAAUAUUAUCCUUGUAUCAGGCAAAGGACCAAGAAAAGUCAAAUCUAGCACAUUUUUAUCAUUCAGAACUGAUUGUCAAGGUUGAGAGAGAGCCAGGGAAAACAACAGCUUUCAUAAACUCUAAUGUAGCAUCUGUUGUAUUUGAGUAACUUGAAAUAAUCCUUUAUAUGGAAAAUAAAGAUUAUUCAGUCUGACUGAAGAUUAAAUAUUUGUCAUUUUCACAUGAUCACAGCAAAGAUCCUGUCUGAUACAAAUAUUUCAUAUCCAUGGGUUUUCCAGGUCAAUCUUUAAAAUACACUGAAAGCAACUAUUAACAAGCACAGAAUGAUUUUGCAGCAAGACUUUUAAACUAAAUUCUGGUCCAGUAAGAAUCCCAUGCUUCUCCUGCUAGUCUGGGAUGCUCCUGUCAAGGCUUUAGAGGACCUCACAGUACUAGCCUGAGCCAUAGAGAUGAACUAAAAUUAUGAUUUGGGACACAUAGUAGCAAAUCAAGACAAGAAAAAAGAAAACAAUUGGUGGAAUCUCAUUUUUGCAUUAUUGGCCAGUGGGAAUACGCCAAUAUUCAAACAUCACUUUCAAUUUUUUAAUCAGAACAUGGGAAGAAGUUUUCCCCUACUUGGCUAAUUUGAGCCCAGCCAGGUUGUAUCCUUGGACUCUUCUCUACAGCAAUGUCUGAUUCUUGUGAAUUUGUUAGAUGCCCUUCCUUGAUGAGGAGGCUUCUAUCUUGAUCUAAGUGGGUCUCUGGGCCAGAUGACAGGGAGCAGACUGAGACUCUACAGGAAGCUAAAAUUAUGCAAUCAAGCCACCUUGAGUACAUCAUAAGUAUUUAUGACAAAUAUUUUAAAAAUUUUAACCAAACACAAUCAAGAUAAGUAUAAAAUUAUUGGGCUGAGAUUACAUUAUAGGAUCUCAAAUAAUACCCACAAGAAGUAAUAAUGACAAAAAGUUGCCCUUAACAGGUCAAAAUACAGAAAGAGGAAAUCUAGUAUCAUUCAGAUUUCUCACUUUCUUUUUCCAUCUGUCAAAAGCUGGAAAUUCACCCUGAAUGUAUCAGUGGAUUGAAAGGAUGUUAAAAAAUAUAUUUCAGAAAAGUAUUGUGUAUAUUUCUGUGUAUUAUGUAGUAUGAAUAUUAUAAUCAUUAUUGAAAUUACAUGUGCAUAAAGAGUUUUUCAAAAAACUUUGCAGACACACAGUCUAAUCAUUAAGUAGCAUCCAACUACUCAAAUGCUCAAAUGUUGUCAAUGACCCUGAUCAGAAACAUAUUAGUAAUGAACAUUAAAGAAAUUAGAAUAUGUCCUAAUAGGCACUAAUUACAAAGAUAUUAUAAAAUCUAUCAAAUAAAUAAAUGUCUGGAAAUUUCCAUUAAAUAGAACUGCACAACCAGACUGAAUACUUUACAAUGACAAGAAAAUUACACAAUGACAUUGUAAUUAUGUAACUGACUCUGCUCUGUGUAUCUGUCAAUUAUAUAUGGAGUCAACCUUCAGGAAUAACCUGGUGCUAAUUCACUUUGUUGACUUCUUUUUUUUUUUCUUUUUAAUUGGCUCUGCAAGGACUAUCCUAAACCAGAAUAAAUGAUUUACCAAUUUUAUCCUUUGCCUUUUCUAGCAUCUACUUUUCCUUUUCCAAUUUGAAAUACAACAGCUGCUUCUGUACAAUAAAAACUGAAUUAUAAAACAAAAUGUCUCCCUUUAAAUCGUCAGCUUGUAGACAAACCAUGAUCAGUUACCUUGCAUGUGAAACUGGAACUAGGCAUUGGUAAACAUUCUAAAUUACAAAAUAUGUUAAAAUACUAUGUAAUUGAGGUCACAGUAAAAGGCAAACUAUUCUUUUGUUUUUAAGUUUACCACUGAAAAUGUCUAUAGAACCUUGAUGCUUAUUCUAAAAUCAGUAUGUAAAAAAAUUCCAAAAGUCUUUUUUUAAAUCCAUGUGUAAUGGCAGUGUUGAUUAAACCCUUCCAAGGAAAUCUAAAACUUGCCAAUGGUUAUAGUCUUAUUUUCGAGGUAAGUGGCAUAAUAUCACCAUCAUCAUAUAAUCUUCAUCAUGCAUAUUUGUAUAUUUCAGUAAUUUCUAGAAAGACAUGUUGCCUGUGGCAUAGAGAUGGUGUCCUGUUAAUCUAGGAAAUAAAAUCUGGAUCCUGUUUGUAGUCUUUUCUCAAUGGGGACAUGUGACUGGCCCAUAGUAGAUUUUAGUAAGUAAGAAUAUUACUGACUUUAUGGCUCUACGCAGACUGUAGACUGUAGUCACUAUGCGAGGGCUUAAAAAGGGGACAGAGGGACUGUAGUCAUAGACAAUUUAACAGUGCAGGAAGGUGUUGUUCUUUGAAGUCAUGCUGGGAAAUACUUCUCUGAGGCACAUGAAUGGAUAGCAAUAGCCAAUAGAUUUUAUUUAUUUCACUCUACAAUAUUUCUGAAACAUUUGUUUGCUUCUCACCAACUCUGCAGUGUGGAAAACUGAAGCAGCUCAGAUCUAAGAACUGAAAUUCAAAUGUAACUUUGCUUAAAAUAAAAUGUACUCUAGACCUAUACUGUCUAAUAUAGGAGCCACUAGCUACAUGUGGCUAUUGACUAAUGGAUAGAUCAAAGGUAUUAUAUACACUUCUAAUUUUGAAAACUUGGUAUAAAAAUAAUUCAAAGUCUCAUUUUUAAUAAUGACUAUAUUUAUAACCAUAAUUUGGAUAUAUUAGAUUAAAUACAUUAUAAUUAAUUUAAGCUUUUUACUUUUAAAAAUGUGGCUAAUGAAAUUUAAAAUUGCAUAUUAGGCUUACAUUACAUUAUAUUAGAUAGUACUUCUUUUAGACAAUAACUUCUACAACCAUUUUAUUUUAAUUUCAGCACUCUUUUUGUCCCUGGAACAAAUGAGCUCUUAACAGUUUUGAGAAAAACUAGUGAGAUUACAAUCAAAUAUUUUUAAUGGGGAAAAUAAUUCAAAAUUGCCCUUCAUGGUAAAAGAAUCAAGUUUAUACGGUAUAUCUGAACUUCUUAAAAUAUAAACCAAUACUGUAAUACUGUUAAUGUGAUACUUGUUAGCUCUAAAAUGCAAAAUGUAUUGCUUUGUGACAUUGUCAAUUAAGAUUAGUGUAACGAAGUUUUUCAAAUUAAGUCUAUUUGUCUAUCCUUAUUUGGCUAAGUAAUCUUUGAGAUAAUAUAUCCAGGUUUUAAUAAGUAAUAUAUAUUUUUUUUAGCUUUUUUUUUUUUUUUUUAGGUACCGGGGAUCGAACUCGGGUCCUUGCGCUUGCGCAGCAGGCGGCGAAACCACUGAGCUAAAUCCCUAGCCCCUCUAAUAAGUAAUAAAAAUGUUGACUCUUUUUUCAAAAAUGGUAACAUAAUUAUCUAACGUAGAAUGUAUUUCUAUAAAAACUUUGAUUUGAUAGAAAUGAUCAUUUUUCUGAAAACUUGACAUGUUUCCAACUGAAAUGACUACAUUAGUAUGUGGGGAUUAUCAGGAAAUAAUCUUUUACAUAGGAGUCAAAAUUUAAAACUCCCAUUGAUUAAUAAUGCAGUUUAUAGCAAUUAUCCUAACACUCUUGAGUACUCACCAAUGAAUGGUCAUAUGCAAUCAUUUAGGUAGGUAAGUGCUAAACUACAUUUUGGCUGUGGCAUUUGUAAGGCUGUUCCUAUAGUCCACAGAGCCAAUCAAUAAGGUCAGUCCGAGGGUUGGAAUGAAAUUACAUCUGCCCUUGGAACAAUAUAAGGUGAGCUUGGAGUGAUGAUGUGUUCUGAUAUUUCAACUAAAUGCCACUUUCCAAGAAAGCUCCUUUUCCUUUCUUCCUUGCUCUAAUACUAUAUGGGAUAUUUUAUAUGUAUAUCUGUUAAGUUUCUCAAGGAAAAUUACACCAGGAAAUUGCUCUUCUUCUUAAAUGGAAAUUUUAAUGCUUAAUAAACAGGAAAUUUAUGAAGCUUAAAAAUAGUGUGUCCUUUAUAAAAGUCAAAAGAGAAUUCUGAGAGGGUCUAAUUAAAAGAAAAAGGAAGGAAAGAGGAAAGAAUAGCAUAAGCACUAUUAACUAAUAAAAGUAAAUCAAAACCCCAAACAGUCAUCUGACCUUAGAUGAUACGCUACUUAAGGGUUUUUCUCUGCAAACCAGUGACCUGACAGAGCCUGAACUAUGGAAUACAAACUGGUCUACCUUGUUUUCUUUUCAUGAGAAUUUGUGCCCAGAAAGCAGAAUGUGUGUAUAAUGAGAUCUAAUACUCUCUAAAAACCAAAGAUUUAAUUUUAUUUUCCAAUUUAAUAAUUUUGAGGAAGAGUCAAAAUAAUUUAAGAUCUGUUUAUUCCAUGAAGAUUUUUAUAAUCUGGUGAUUUUUUUUUAUUGCCUUCAUUUUGGACUUUGAAAAUAAUUCUUUUUUUAAAUUAAAAAAACUCCACCAAAAUAUUAUACAUAAUUAUUUUGAUUAAAUGUUUAUUUCAGCUCAAACUAGAAAUAAAU
ensembl:lncRNA